UGCUCUUUUUUUUAUUAUUCCUAGUGGGAGAAAAAGGGUGCUGGAACCUGUAAGAAUGUGCAAAAGCUGCUCAUUGAGAAAACAGACCUUUGGCUGCCCUUGGCAACAGCACGGGAUUAUGGAUUAGGAAUGGCAGGAACUGUCAAGUGGAAGAUACAUGUUGGUUUGAUAUGGAGGAGGGUAAGCUGGAGGAGAAGCAACCAGUCAUGGAAACUGGCUGGAAAACCAGGAAAUCCAACCACAUAGCCAUUCCUUCAGCCUGGAAAGUCCUUGGUUUGGCACUGGAAUACAGGCACUGAUAUUUGCACUGUCACAGGUAAUGAAACUACAUUGAAUGGUUGUGUGGAAAAUAGCUGGUGCAUGUGGUAAGAGUAGAACACAGCAAAAGAGAAUCAGUAAAGCUGGGGCUUAAAUCUGGCUUAAAUGGAGAAGAUUGUUUCUGACCAAGAGUAAUCAAGUGUUUUCACAGCACAGAUCUGUAAAAUUUCUCAGGGUAUUGGUGCUGUCUGAUAAGAUAUUUUAUCCUGUGGCAGGAUAAAGUGGAUUCAUACCAUGAUGCAGUGUGCUGAGAUCUACUGAUAUUCUCAUUAGUACACUAUGGCUUCAAAGCCAUCUCCAUAACUACUACAGAUGCUGUGAGAAUAAGCUCAAGGUAAUUAAUAAGUCUUAUUUUUCUACCAGAUUUAAUAUGUACAUUAAUUGCUUACACUGUAAGUCCCAUUUCCAUCUCUCUUCAGAAUGCUAAUGUAGUGGUUUUAGUUUGUUGGGCUUUCCCCCAUCCUGCAGUAUUCUUUGCUACAGAAAUAUGGGAAGAAGGAUCUUUCAAGAUCUUCUCUGUCCCAGGUGAGGAGA
rnacentral:lncRNA from 12 species